CUAAAAUUCUGUAAGAAAUAGUAACAAUAACUUAUUUGUAAUGGAUUAGAAAUAACUUUUCCUAGGAGCACUGGAGGUACCAUAAAUAUUACUUUUACUUCUUCACAUAUAGUGCUGUUUUGAAGAGAUAUUAAAAUAACAUUUCGCAAUUCAUGUUUAUCAGGUAGUAGAAAGUGUGAGCAAUGUGGAGAGAUUGCAUGGACAGUUCCCCCAAGACAGUUAUUAUCUGAGAAAGCUGGAAGCUACUCAGAGAGCUUUAUAAAAACUGUUAUCGAUACUGGGUCUGCAUUUGUGCAAUGGAAAAACAUGGAAGAGGAAUGGGAAUUGCUGGGUCCACACACCCCUCAAUAAGAAAUGAAUUGUAAAAACAGGUUUAUUCAUGCAGUGAUUGUUCACAUGUAUGAAUGAAGUGAAUGAUGAACUAAGACUACAUGUGUAACUUGGAUAAAUCUCAAAAAACAACGUUGAAUUUAAAAAAUUACAAAAGGACGGAAACAUAGUACCAUAUAUAUACACUUUAAAUACACAAAAUAAUAGUAAAUAUUGUUUAUGAAUACAAAUAUAUGCAUGGAAAUGAUAAGGAUUAUCCUCAGAAUAGUGGUGUGAUUGCAUCUGAAGAUGAAAGGAGAAGGGAUGAGGAGUGGAAUGUUAGCUGUUUCUGCAAUGCUUUCUUGUCAGGAAAAAAAUUCUGAAGAAAAUGUGGCAAGAUGUUAACAUCUGUUAAAUCUUGGUAUUGGCUGUCGUAUUUUCUCCUGUACUUUUCUCUGAAAUACUGUACAACUACACAUAAAAAUAAAUAUUUUUAAAAGAGUGAUUUAUAUCUUAUCUCUUUACCAUCUCACUUUGUAGUUGCUUUGUUAAAAAUUGGUUUCUUAUCAUGGUCCUUUUGAUGAACUGGGAUUAAAGAAAAGAGUCAAAGAGAAUUUUUUAAAGUCAUUCCAAAUUCUACUUCCUGAAAUAAUAAUUUUUAAUGUUAGACUACUAUUAUUCUAGAGCUCUUUCUAUCCCUGUGUAAUAAAAUAAGUGGAUAGAAGGGUGGGAAAUUAAUGAGAAAGGAAGAAGGAGGAAAGGAAAGGAAGGAAAAAGAUAUUGAAGAAAAAAUCUAGGAUAUAAUCUUCAUGUGGGAAGGACUUACUUUAAUUUUACUUGACUGGGACAAAAGAAAAAAAAUUAAGUUGAAGAAAUUGUGGAAUCUCAAAUGUUUGUUAGCCAUAAGAGACGAUAUUUAUUUUAAGUUCAGAAAAGAUUUUGAGAAAAACAUUAAGAGACUGUAGUCCUUGUGUGUUUUUUUAAACUAUCUAUUUCGAAUAUAAAAAGUGUCAGUUGAUUCCUUGCUGUGAAAGAUAAGGACAUUAGCACUUCCAAAAUUCUGUCUACGUUUUCUCUCCCAACCCCCAAUUUAUCUUAGGUAUAUUUUUAUUUUUACACUGACAAGGUAGAAUGUUCAUACUUUGUUUAGUAUUCACACAUAUUUUAGUAGUUUUGUAUAUUUGAAUGAAAUUACCACUAACCACAUUUUCUCAUUUUUUUCUCCAUCCUUGAAUUCUUUGAUUUAUUUUUGUGUGUUGAUUCUCUUGUCAGUUUUUUUUUUUUUUUCAGGAAGUGCUCAUGGAUGUUUUUGAGACUGGGUCUCCGUCUGUCACCCAGGCAGGAAUGCAGUGGUGCCAUCACGGCUAACUGCAGCCUCGACCUCCUGGGCUCACACGAUCCUCCUGCCUCAGCCUCCUGAGUAGCUGGGACCACAGAUUCUUCCUAUUUUGCUCCCGACUGAUUUGAUCCUGCUGUGUGUCUCCUACUCCUUUGCGUCUACCUCCUCAUGGGUUCAGAUGCUUUGUGAUUCUGCACCUGCCUUCUCUCUCUGUGCCGUUCCUCUUCCAUCUCUCUUCCAUCUGUAUGUCUUGCUUUAAAACUCCCAAGGAAAAAAGAAGAAAAGUCGGCUUUGGUCAUUUGUCAAUAUUCAGUAGUGUGUGCCUUUGUUGAGCAGAGCUCAACUGCAUCAGCCCCUCUCUUGCACACCUAUAGAGGGACGCCUUAUUUUGGUUAAGUAGCCAUCUCUGGUUCAAGUAUCUGUGCCUAGGGAGGCAGGUCCAAUGGUACAAAGCAUAGCAACCUAUACAUUCAGAAACUCUGGGGAGGGAAGUGUGGAUUUGGCAGAGACCUUACUGCUCAUCUGAUAUAGUUACCCCAAAUCCUAAUGAGGUUGUUUGAGCCUAGUGUUAGGCCAUUCCAACACAGUUUCUAGGCCAACAGUUGGAACUCUGUGGUAAACUCACCGGUUUAUUACCAUCCCCCUCCCUGGUAGUGCUAGUGAUUCAUGUCAUGGUGGUCGGCUGUGGUGGAGAUUGCAUAGUCUAAUUCUGUUUCCUCUCCUCCUGAGCACAUAGCUAUACUGUAAUUCCCAGAUUCUCUUGCAGAUAGAGGGGAGCUGGGAAUUAUGGUCUAGCUAGACCAUGUGACCUAGUUUUUACCAAUGAAAUGUGGAUGGAGGUAAUGGGUGCUACUUCUAGGCCCGGUCCAUGGAAACCUCCCACGUGGGAGGUGCUUUUCCCUUUACAGCUUGAUAUAUACAGUAUAGUGACAUUGGAAGCCAUAUGUUGAAAAUUAUGGAACCACAAGAUGGAAGGAGCUGGGUCCCUGAAUGAGUUGUCGGAGGAAAGCCAUCCACCGAUCAGGAAAAUCCAUUUUGGAUUUUAUGUGAGCCGUCUCCAUGACUAUUGUGUUAAGCCACUGGAGGCUGGAGUUUGUUACAGCAGUGGCUGUUAUCCUCACAUAGUGGCAUUAUUGAUUUUGCUCCACAGGGACCCAAGGAAGGCUUUGGGCUCCUUAGGUAUCUUGGUGAGCACUGUCCCAGGCGGAAGUUGGUUAACAGGAUGGCCCCCUUCAGGGAGGGCUGAUGGGGUAUGGGAGAGCGACCAUCGCUUUGCUACUCCUGAUAAGCAUGACAUAAAGAAUGUCUCUCUUUAAGCCUUCCUCCCCGAAUCCCAAGCUGUGGAUAUCAAUACAUUUGUAUAGAUUCAUGCGAGAGUUCCAGAGUAUUCUGAAACUGCCUCUGAAUUUAUUUGCAGAAAGGUAGGGGUUAGUAACUAGUGAUACCACUUUAUGCACAGAGCAAGUAAACUCCAUCUUUACCAUGGCCAACUGUAGCAAUAGAGUUCAGUGUUUUCUAUAUCACAGAUAGAAGAAGUAACAAAACUUCAUCCAUUUCAUCUUCAUAUAUAGUAAGGCGAGGUGUCUGAGAGGCAGGGGUGAGAAAGACAAGACUGGCAUGCAUGGUAUUGAAAUGGCUGUGAAAGGGAGAAGAUUUGCUUAUAGUAGCAGGGCCCAGGUAGCAUGGGAAUUCAUUACUUUUAUCUUUAAAGGGGUUAGAAACAAGUGUUCAGAGGUGCCAUGCAGUAAUGAAACCAGUCCAGGAGCCAGGCUGUAAGUGCUGUAAUUCAAGUAAGCUUUUGGUUAAUUUAAAGGGAUGGUAGUUACACCAGCUCCUAACCCAUCGCCAUCUUCUGUUUCAUGUUUUUGAUUACUGAGAAGUGACACUCAAAUGUUUAUUUUUUCUUAAAACUACUGAGUACAUUUUGUAACAGCUCCAGUUUCUACUGAGAGCUCAUUUAUGCCAUAUUUCCUUUGCUCACAUAACUCUAAGAGUACUUCUGUUUUUUACUGAAAGCUUGUAUUUCUGUCUCUGCUAAGUUAUAAACUUACUGAUGACAAAA